rnacentral:tRNA from 1 species
GCUCGGGUGGUGGAAUGGUAGACACGCCAGACUUAGGAUCUGGUGCCGCAAGGCAUGAGGGUUCGAGUCCCUCCUCGAGCA